GAUGAACGCUGGCGGCGUGCCUAAUACAUGCAAGUCGAGCGAACAGACGAGGAGCUUGCUCCUCUGACGUUAGCGGCGGACGGGUGAGUAACACGUGGAUAACCUACCUAUAAGACUGGGAUAACUUCGGGAAACCGGAGCUAAUACCGGAUAAUAUAUUGAACCGCAUGGUUCAAUAGUGAAAGACGGUUUUGCUGUCACUUAUAGAUUGAUCCGCGCCGCAUUAGCUAGUUGGUAAGGUAACGGCUUACCAAGGCAACGAUGCGUAGCCGACCUGAGAGGGUGAUCGGCCACACUGGAACUGAGACACGGUCCAGACUCCUACGGGAGGCAGCAGUAGGGAAUCUUCCGCAAUGGGCGAAAGCCUGACGGAGCAACUCCGCGUGAGUGAUGAAGGUCUUCGGAUCGUAAAACGCUGUUAUUAGGGAAGAACAAAUGUGUAAGUAACUAUGCACGUCUUGACGGUACCUAAUCAGAAAGCCACGGCUAACUACGUG
rnacentral:rRNA from 1 species